AAAAAACUGAAGAAUAUUAGAGAGGUAGCCGCUGGCAAGCGAGCCUGCGUUGCUGGAAGGCAGGUGCAGCUGGUCUCUUGAACGCGCUUUGGUAAGACAUUUAAAUAUCAUUUGAGUGGAAUGUUGCACAUUCAACUAGAGUGGUACCGCGGGAAAUUUCUCGUCUCUAAU
rnacentral:misc_RNA from 1 species